GAGAAAGCACGCAAGAACUGCUAACU
rnacentral:tRNA from 1 species